CCAUAACUACUGUCGCCAAAAUGUUGAGUUACCAGUGUAAUUCAGGAGAGCCUAUCUUGUUUAGGUUUAAAGUUUCUUCUUUACAUCAUGCAAUAUCUCACUUCUGCAAAAAAAUCUUUAUCCGGUGUUAAGAGCUGUUACAAAGUCCUGUCCUCUAAG